rnacentral:rRNA from 1 species
AUUGAACGCUGGCGGCAUGCCUUACACAUACAAGUCGCGCGAGAAAGUCCUUCGGGACGAGUACAGCGGCGCACGGUGAGUAAUGCAUAGGAACGUACCUAUAGGUGGGGAACAACCAAGCGAAAGCUUGGCUAAUACCGCAUAAUCUCGCAAGAGUAAAGAUGGCCUCUACUUGUAAGCUAUCGCCAAUAGAGCGGCCUAUGCCCCAUUAGCUAGUUGGUAAGGUAAUGGCUUACCAAGGCAACGAUGGGUAGCUGGUCUGAGAGGACGGACAGCCACACUGGAACUGAGACACGGUCCAGACUCCUACGGGAGGCAGCAGUGGGGAAUCUUGCACAAUGGGGGCAACCCUGAUCCAGCCAUGCCGCGUGAGUGAUGAAGGCCUUCGGGUUC